UGGGGAAUAUUGGACAAUGGGCGCAAGCCUGAUCCAGCAAUGCCGCGUGUGUGAAGAAGGCCUUCGGGUUGUAAAGCACUUUUAUCAGGAGCGAAACGCUGUCGGCUAAUACCCGGCGGAACUGACGGUACCUGAGGAAUAAGCACCGGCUAACUUCGUGCCAGCAGCCGCGGUAAUACGAAGGGUGCAAGCGUUAAUCGGAAUUACUGGGCGUAAAGCGUGCGUAGGCGGUUUCUUAAGUCUGCUGUGAAAUCCCCGGGCUCAACCUGGGAAUGGCAGUGGAUACUGGGAGGCUAGAGUGUGUCAGAGGGUGGUGGAAUUCCCGGUGUAGCGGUGAAAUGCGUAGAGAUCGGGAGGAACAUCAGUGGCGAAGGCGGCCACCUGGGACAACACUGACGCUGAGGCACGAAAGCGUGGGGAGCAAACAGGAUUAGAUACCCUGGUAGUCCACGCCCUAAACGAUGCGAACUGGAUGUUGGUCUCAACUCGGAGAUCAGUGUCGAAGCUAACGCGUUAAGUUCGCCGCCUGGGGAGUACGGUCGCAAGAUUAAAACUCAAAUGAAUUGACGGGGUCAUAGCU
rnacentral:rRNA from 1 species